rnacentral:rRNA from 1 species
GAUGAACGCUGGCGGCGUGCUUAAUACAUGCAAGUCGAACGGAGACUGUAGCAAUACUGUCUUAGUGGCGAACGGGUGAGUAACGCGUUGGUGACCUGCCCCGAAGAGGGGGAUAACAGUCCGAAAGGAUUGCUAAUACCCCAUGUGGUCGUUUGGAUUAGAUGCCUUACGACUAAACGGAUUUAUUCGCUUCGGGAGGGGCCUGCGUCCCAUCAGCUAGUUGGUAGGGUAAUAGCCUACCAAGGCGAUGACGGGUAGGGGACCUGAGAGGGUGGCCCCCCACAAUGGAACUGAAACACGGUCCAUACACCUACGGGUGGCAGCAGUAGGGAAUAUUAGAAAUGGACGAAAGUCUGAUCUAGCAACACCGCGUUGUGCGAAGAAGGCCUUCGGGUCGUAAAGCACUUUUUGGAAGGAAUAGGAAGGAAUGUACUUCCAGAAUAAGUCUCGGCUAACUACGUCG